GUACCUCUGUUUGCAUACUGGCUAAGAUCAAAGUGUAGUACAUGUAUCUGUUCUUAUCUGCUUGAUACGCACCUCAUUGAGAUGUUUCGAUAUUAAACUGAUUUUUGGACCUCAGCGAGAUGUCAAGGGGACACCCUCUCUAUUAAGGACACUGAUUUUGGUCCCAAAUUGGUCGAAUCCAUUUAAUUUGACCUCUC